rnacentral:rRNA from 1 species
UACGAAGGGGGCUAGCGUUGCUCGGAUUGACUGGGCGUAAAGGGCGCGUAGGCGGUUCGUACAGUCAGACGUGAAAUUCCUGGGCUCAACCUGGGGGCUGCGUUUGAUACGUGCGGACUUGAGUGCGGAAGAGGGUCGUGGUAUUCCCAGUGUAGAGGUGAAAUUCGUAGAUAUUGGGAAGAACACCGGUGGCGAAGGCAGCUCGCUGGGACGGUACUGACGCUGAGACGCGAAAGCGUGGGGAGCAAACAGG